rnacentral:rRNA from 1 species
UAACAAGGUCUGUGUUGGUGAACCAGCGGAGGGAUCAUUG